AUUUUAAUGACAUGUCCUAAUAUCAUUUCUCAACAUAUUUCACAGAAUAUUGAAGGACGUUGACUCUCAGGAGUUUGGUCUCAACAGCUUACGCAAGGUGCCUCAACAUGAGAUGGAGGUGUAUGAUGUGUAGUUUUGAAUCAGACAAGCCAAUAGGAUUGUUAAAACACUAUAGAUCAAAGAGGAGUUCAGAAGGAUAACAACAGUUCAUCUGGAGCAAACCUUUUUGUCAAAACUGGACACACACACUCCCAAACUCCUGGAGAUAUUUAGGACUAAGGGCGGGGUUGCAGGCACGAAAUCAGACCGAUGCUGGAUUGACUUGGCCAGCAACAUGUUGAAGGCAUCAUACGUUGCCUAAUGGAGUUCCUUGGAGAGUCGGGAGAGGAGCUGAUCAAAGACUGCCAGG